rnacentral:lncRNA from 1 species
AAGGGGUCUCCAGUGUUACGCCUUGGUUCUGAUCGCUGUGAACUUCAACUGAACUGCCAACAUGUGAAAUCGGGGCUUGCCCCCCAUGAAACAAGCCAAGGCAAAGGUCUCCUGUUAUCAUCAUCACUAGGAAGGUUCUCAAGUCAAUUCUGGUUCCUUACUUCAUGUCUGCCCAUAAUGCCAGGGUGCUCAGAGGAAGCAAUGGUCAUGAGAAGUUUCUUGCUCUCAAGGGACUUCCACUGAUUAAAGACAGGCAAAUAAGAAAGAUAUCAUGAAAUAAGUACUGGAAUUGGAGUGUUUUUUUUCUUUCUUCAUAAUUGCUCCAAGAAGUAUUCAUUUCUUUCUACAAAAAUCAAGAAGAGUGAAUAGAAGGAAGUUAUUAGAUCUGCAUACUGA